AAGCCAGACUCCUACGGGAGGCAGCAGUGGGGGAUAUUGCACAAUGGGGGGAACCCUGAUGCAGCGACGCCGCGUGGGUGAAGGAGUGCUUCGGCAUGUAAAGCCCUAUCGGCAGGGAAGAAGCAAGACGGUACCUGACUAAGAAGCCCCGGCUAACUACGUGCCAGCAGCCGCGGUAAUACGUAGGGGGCGAGCGUUAUCCGGGUUUACUGGGUGUAAAGGGGGCGCAGACGGCAGCGCAAGCCAGGAGUGAAAGCCCGGGGCCCAACCCCGGGACUGCUCUUGGAACUGCGCGGCUGGAGUGCAGAAGGGGCAGGCGGAAUUCCUGGUGUAGCGGUGAAAUGCGUAGAUAUCAGGAGGAACACCGGUGGCGAAGGCGGCCCGCUGGACUGCGACUGACGUUGAGGCCCGAAAGCGUGGGGAGCAAACAGGAUUAGAUACCCUAGUACC
rnacentral:rRNA from 1 species